rnacentral:rRNA from 1 species
CCUACGGGGGGCAGCAGUGGGGAAUAUUGGACAAUGGGGGCAACCCUGAUCCAGCCAUGCCGCGUGUGUGAAGAAGGCCCUCGGGUUGUAAAGCACUUUCAGUGAGGAAGAACGCCUGGUGGUUAAUACCCAUCAGGAAAGACAUCACUCACAGAAGAAGCACCGGCUAACUCCGUGCCAGCAGCCGCGGUAAUACGGAGGGUGCGAGCGUUAAUCGGAAUUACUGGGCGUAAAGCGCGCGUAGGUGGCUUGAUAAGCCGGUUGUGAAAGCCCCGGGCUCAACCUGGGAACGGCAUCCGGAACUGUCAAGCUAGAGUGCAGGAGAGGAAGGUAGAAUUCCCGGUGUAGCGGUGAAAUGCGUAGAGAUCGGGAGGAAUACCAGUGGCGAAGGCGGCCUUCUGGACUGACACUGACACUGAGGUGCGAAAGCGUGGGUAGCAAACAGGAUUAGAUACCCUAGUAGUC